rnacentral:lncRNA from 10 species
CAAAGUGCUGGGAUUACAGGCGGGAGCCACAGCACCCGGACGUCCCAGGGGCAUUUGAAACUGUCCCUGAAGCAGCAGUGUGGACUGGAUUACAAGGAGGUCAGGUGGCUAGGACGUAAUGCUUCCAGGGAGGAGGCCUUGCUGCACCAGAUAGGAUUUUGGCUGCAAGCAACAGAAAGCGGUUCCGAUUAACUUAGGCAAAAAGGAGUUUCCUGCAAGCUGCUGGGGCACCGUACCCGCCUAAAGGAAAGCCGUGCUGCCAGGCCUUGGGAAGGAGACUCAGCGCAGCACUAGCAGCCCCCCUCCCCGGCCCACUGGAGGGCCAAGUCUCUGGGGGGAGAACAUGACAGGCGUGGAGGGCUAGAGAUGCCCCCCUGAGUCCUCUCCUGCCUCUUCCUGUGAAGAAGGCCUCCCGCUGGCUGCACGUUUCCUCACUGUUUGCCGGGACUGGCUGUGCAAUUCCCCGCUGCGCCCGUCCCCAGCGCUCCACACAGGAGCUCCGCGAAUGCUGGCUUGUUAACCGGAUAGCUUGACACUCUAAUCAGUACGAAUUCACCUUCUCAGCUGAGAGGUUAGGAAAGUGUGGAAGGGGAGGGCUGUGGGACGCCACUCCCCACACACUGUUGUGUGGCCUGGGAAAGCUGCUUCACCCCCUUGUGCGUCGGUUUCCUCAUCUGUGAAACAGGGUAAUAAUAAAGUGUCUCUUAGAG